UACGUAGGGUGCAAGUGUUGUCCGGAAUUAUUGGGCGUAAAGAGCUCGUAGGCGGUUUGUCGCGUCUGCUGUGAAAACUCGGGGCUUAACUCCGGGCCUGCAGUGGGUACGGGCAGACUAGAGUGCGGUAGGGGAGACUGGAAUUCCUGGUGUAGCGGUGAAAUGCGCAGAUAUCAGGAGGAACACCGGUGGCGAAGGCGGGUCUCUGGGCCGUAACUGACGCUGAGGAGCGAAAGCGUGGGGAGCGAACAGG
rnacentral:rRNA from 1 species